UAGUACAACAAUUAUGCAAGUGCGUGCAAAUUAGUCCAAGAACUAGUAAACUGAUCAAUCCAAUACAAGAACUUGACACUUUGGUGCGCAUACGAUCCAAAUCCCGCCACGUCACGUAUUUGUCCGCAGUGGAUGAUGAGGUGGCAGGGUGGGAUCAGCUUGGCUCGCGGAAACAUUGGCUCGGCACGACUCAGCCCGGCUUGAUAGACAUCAUGCAACAAAGGGAUCCCACGUAGGGUUUGCGGCAACAAAAAUAUGGUUUCACGUCGGAACUUGCCGCAGCCGCCGGCGAUCGGAACUCGCCGCUGCCGCUGGUGAUCGGCACUCGCCACUGCCGCCGGUGAUCGAGAUCGAGUUGCCGCUGCCGCCGGUGAUGGAGCCUCAUCGUAGACAACCCAACGCUAGUCCUCCUUCAUACGAUGUAAAUGAUGAUUACUUCAGUGUAGAGAUACAUUAUAAAGGAUUUUUCUGUGGACUUGGCAAGAAAAGGAUAUAUAUGGACAACAAGAUAGAUUGGUUUGAUUUUUGUAAUACUGAUACAUGGUCCCUAUUGUAUGUUGAUGAUUUCUUGGGGAUUCUAGAAUGCAAUAAUUCAGCAUCUACAAGAGUUUAUUGGUGUGAACCAGGGAAGUCAGUGGGAGAUGGAUUGAGAAGUUUGAGGGGUGAUGCCGAUAUCAUUGCAAUGUCAAAUGUGGCUUCUACUUAAGAUUAUGCCAGCUAGACUGAACAAUGAACUAGAUCCUAGUGAAAAUGCUGACACUAUGGUGUUUAAUCUUCUACGUCACGUAUAGCAAUCUAGUUAUUUUUACAACAUUAUUUGACAUUAGUUAAUUCCAAGGUAUAUUAAACUUUGUCAAUACUAUGUAGGAAAACAUAGCACGGUCAGCAA